GUCCAUUUGGCGCAAUGGUAGCGCAUUCCUCUCCUAAUUGUUAGAAGGAAAGGUUGCGGGUUCGAGUCCCGUAAUGGAUG
rfam:Pneumocystis jirovecii, SE8, WGS project CAKM01000000 data, contig: 80